rnacentral:rRNA from 1 species
UACGGGGGGGGUAAGCGUUGUUCGGAAUUACUGGGCGUAAAGGGCUCGUAGGCGGCCAACUAAGUCAUACGUGAAAUCCCUCAGCUUAACUGGGGAACUGCGUGUGAUACUGGAUGGCUUGGAUUCGGGAGAGGGAUGCAGAAUUCCAGGUGUAGCGGUGAAAUGCGUAGAUAUCUGGAGGAAUACCGGUGGCGAAGGCGGCAUCCUGGACCGACAUUGACGCUGAGGAGCGAAAGCUAGGGGAGCAAACGGG